rnacentral:rRNA from 1 species
AAGCCUGAUUGUUACCGAGGGACACAAUAUAACGUUGUUUUUUUCCUCUACCUGUAUUAUUUCUUCGAACCACUUGUUUAUAUAUAGACUUGGGAGAUGUAUCAUAUCUACGAUAUUAAAGACAAUUUACCUUCAAUCUAAAUCUAAGAAUUUUUAUCAUAGGAAGUCAGGAUAUGUAUGUUCCAUGACAGAACCGUACCUAUAUCGGACGUUGGGCGUAGAGAUUUGUUGCGCUUGGAUAGGUAUUAGUGUUUGAACACAUAACUAGGAGGUAAGUCUAAAGAAUAAUCGAGUAAGACCGGACACACUUAAAAAACACAAACGAAAUGUUACCGGGUUACGUAAAGCCAGCUAUAUAUACACUACGGUAACCAACCGGACCUAGCCUAUCGAUCCAAACUAGCUAAGCCAAUUAUAUACAAAGACAAAGACAAAUCCAAAGGUGUGGAAAACUACGCACACGCACGACGGUAACUCAUUGAACUAGACAAAAGGACCGAUAAGAUACACGUAAAUGUACAUAUCCUAUCAGUAAAACUAAGUCAAUUCUAUACAAGUCUAAAGACAAAUCUAAGGCCGUGGAAAAUUUACACGAUGGUACCCCAUUGGACUAAGGUAAAAUUACCGUUGCCUGGACGUUCACGUACCGGGUGACGAUUAUCAGGAUCUUCGCUAACUUUAACAACGAUAAAACUGAAACAGACGAUGUACCUGACGAUAAGACUAGAGAUACAAAAGGGUAACGAAGUAAGUCAUACAGGUGCAUUUUGGUCUUUAAUGUACGUAAACUUACUACUAUCGAAUCGUGAACUACUAUUUACACUACAACAAAAUACAAUUACACUUUGGGCUAGAUAGCCAACAAUCAAACUUAGUCAUGGGUUCGGUAGGAGGAGUGACGUGAGGAGAGUCAAUAAAUCCAUCAAGAAGGAAGAACCCAUUGUUACUCUUUUGCUAAUCCAACCAAUGUGUCAUAUGAAGUACUAACGCCAUCCGUGUUUUACGAACCGUCUGAUUUUAUUGAUACGGAGUAAAGAUAAUAGUUCGAGAUUCACAUAUAACUCUACGGAAACAUGUUACUUUCUAGGUACCCCAACAAACAAACGAACAUCUAAAAGCACGUCUAUAAACUUAACACGUUUAUAAAUUAAGCUAAAUAUUAAACAACAGAGAACUACAGCGAUUAAAACAUACUCGACCUCCACUGGUAAUAGUGCAAGAAAGAUAAAAAAUAUCUGUUACAAAAGAAAGAUUAUAAAUCAAAAUAAGGUUCUAAUUACUACGAAAGUGAGACAAAAGUCUAACUGUUAAAGCGGCCCAACGGCGGUAGUCCACGGCGCGCGACACUAAGGCCUAGCCGGCAUCCAGCGCAGGUUCUCUCGACCUCACCGACGACGUCACUCCCGUAGUCCCCUUGGGUAGGACGAGCUGGGGGGUGAGAACCGCCGAUAGACAUCUCCUCAUCUCUAGCUCCUACCGAGGGUCAAGCAGCUCCUCUGCGGGCUGUGUAUCCCAAUCGCUCCUCCUCCGAAGGAAGGUACUGCUACGCGUCUCCUCUUCUGUUCUCCUAUACACGACGAUCUAGACUGUACCUCCACGAUAAGUUAGGUAGUCAACGAUCGCCGGACGACACUAAUUCCUCCGGCACAAUAAAACCACACGCUCUCUCUAGAACGUCCGACCGUCUACGAAACUUGUACUCGUACACCCGUUAAACCUAAACAGACUUCUUCUCUGUUUCUUUUGUUAGAGUUGUACGACCAACACGAUCGUAACCGUUCCGAUGCCAUUGCCCCUCACAGUCGUUGAUGUUAAUUAAGUAAAUAGGUACCUUAACCCUAUUGUUUUUCUCCAGAGUUCUUUCUCUUUUAUUGAACACCAAGUUCGUCGUUCUUCUAUCGGUCGGAUUUACUUAGUUUUGUUCUUGUUCGCAGCCAUUAAAUGUUUACUCCUUCACAUCGACCACUACAUUAAUGAAAGUUAUCGCGAAGUCGAGACGUUAGCUGUCAAACUGGAGUACGAUCCCGUCGGAGUCGGUCAACGGAGAAGAUAAUUUCCCAGGGAGUCGAUGAAUACAAAACGAUCUGUUACUCCCAUACAUCUAUCGUACAUACAAAAAAUGUAACAAAACGCGUCCAACUCUACGUAGUGUACUACAAAAGGAAAAUGUAAAUACCCAUAAUGUCUUGGGAAAGAAAAAGGUGUUCCCCGUCAUCGACCCAUAGUAAGUCCUAUAUAUGUGUUUUCUCAUAUCUUGGUUUAAUAUACUACAUUAACUGAUGAUAGAUAAUUGAAGAGUACAUCUGUUACAAGUGUUCAAGUACAUAAUUCAUGUAAAAUAACACAGUGAACACAAAUGAGUAAAAAAUUACGUUCAAAUGACGAUGAGCCUCAAGG